CCUGCAUGCUCUCCUGUUGUGCUGUGCUGUUCUGCUCUGCUCUGCUCUGUUCUGUUCUACAAGAGAAAUCACUAACUCCCAAGCGUUUCCAUGGACCUUUGGGAAUCAGCCAUUGUGAGUGGAAAAGAUUCCUGCAGAAAUGUGUUAGGGAUGCAAAGUACAGGGGACACAGGAGAUGUACACAGUGCGGUCUAAAAGGACUGCACAAACAGAGCGACCGCAACACAAAACCCCAGCAGGGACGCUGACAGGAGAAGAAGUCCGAGGAACACGAGUGAGACGAGGAGGAACAGAGAAAGCGCGAGAGGGAGGACGGCUCAGAGAGGGAAGGAGAUAAAAGAAGAGGAAACGGGAGGUACGGGAAAAAAGCAGGAAACAAUCAAAGAAAGUUCCUUGAUAAGCCCCAGAGAACGGCACCUGUGGAAAAUGUAAUCUUACAAAUUCUAGCAGAGGAGGCGGUGGGGAAGCUCAUGAUAAUGUGAUUGUGGGCAGAGGAGGGGCGCUCAGAGCAACCAAAAGCAAGCGGCCCGGGUCCGGUGGAGUGGGAGGGAAGGCGAAGGGUGGUGGGCACAAGGGCCAGCCGAGAGGGGACUGACUUAUCAAAGGCGCUGGCAGGUAAAUAGUCAUUUACUAUGCAUGCACAAUGAACGGUACACGGUGGCUUGACACAGGCGGCGGGGCGAUAAUGAAAGGCACUGCUAUUGUGGCAUCCGUCAAGGGACUCUUUUUAAUAUUGCUUCCCUCUCUCAAGUGACGGAGCGCUGAUGCUUCUUGGCGCCAGCCUCCUCUUGUAAGUCACUUUGCAUAAGAUGAGACGGAGUUGAAGUGUGAUGAAUUAUCGGAGCAGAGGGGCUGUGCAGAAUGAGAUUUUUCCCUUUUCCUUUUUUUCUCUUUUUUUACCUUUACCUCCAUAUUAGGAAAGGUUAGGAUGUGCCGCCUUUAGCUGUGUCACUUCCUCACUAUUAAAAGACAGCUAAAACCAAAAAUAUUUAUAAUAUAAUACUAAUAUUAUAAAACUAAUUGUGUUUUUUUG
rnacentral:lncRNA from 12 species